rnacentral:rRNA from 1 species
UACGUAGGGUGCAAGCGUUGUCCGGAGUCACUGGGCGUAAAGGGUGCGUAGGUGGCUUGGUAAGCGUGUGGUGAAAGUCCGGGGCUCAACCCCGGAUCUGCCGUGCGAACUGCUGAGCUCGAGCAAUGUAGAGGCAGGUGGAAUUUCGGGUGUAGCGGUGGAAUGCGUAGAGAUCCGAAAGAACACCAGUGGCGAAGGCGGCCUGCUGGGCAUUUGCUGCCACUGAGGCACGACAGCGUGGGGAGCAAACAGG